UGUGUGAGAUGAAUUGUAAUAUCGAUUUUUUCGCAAUGAUAAGGAAUCAUCAUUCAUCGGCUUAUCUGUAACUGGGGUCUUAAAAUGUGUAAAAAAUAAAUCAAGUGGAAGUUUUAUCGAUAGAGUCGAUUUUAAAAUAAUAAUGGGGCAAACAAAUUUGUUUCCAACACUGUCACACAAAAUAUAAUAAAUAGUGCUUUCGAAUUUUUGUCUAUUUUUUUUUUAAUUUAUAAUGUUUUUUUCCCGAAAAUUAUUUCAUAACCUGUGAAAUGAACGAUUUUAUGGCUCGUUUUUGAGAAAUUCGGUUAAUUGGAAAGGUUGUGACUAAGAAACAGUCGAAAAUCGACGUCAAAUAUUGAUAAAUCCAGAGAACACAAAUUUCAAAUCGCGCGCCUGUCGGUCAUACGUCAACGGCGUCAACCAAUGAGACGUCGUGCCAUGAUGUCACGCAUUAGAGUGGUGGGGACGCAUUUUCACGUCAGAGCGUCCUCAAGUUUUUUGAUUUUGUGGUGUGUACAAAAGUGUUGUGUGUGUGUUUUGUGCCAAAAUGACUGAAAUCCAAGGUUUUUAUUGGAAAUCUGACGAGGUGACGUCAUCGGUUGCAGUCUGGAACCGAAUUCUGAGAAAUGCUCGAGAACGCGCCAAAAGCAAGAGGGACGCUACCUCAGGAAUCGCUCUGCCGGAGAUUUACGCCGACGAUAUGCUAAGGUGUGACUUCGAGAUUCACGCCAAAUUAAUAAAUGGUAAGUGAUAGUUUUGUAGUUUUGAGUCAAUAUUUCGGCAAAUUUUAUUACACAU